GAUGAACGCUAGCUACAGGCUUAACACAUGCAAGUCGAGGGGAAACGAUAUUGAAAGCUUGCUUUCUUUAGGCGUCGACCGGCGAAUGGGUGAGUAACGCGUAUCCAACCUGCCCCUGAGUAAGGGAUAGCCCAUCGAAAGAUGGAUUAAUACCUUAUAGUUUCCUUUGAAGGCAUCUGAUUAGGAAUAAAGAUUUAUCGCUGAGGGAUGGGGAUGCGUCUGAUUAGCUUGUUGGCGGGGUAACGGCCCACCAAGGCGACGAUCAGUAGGGGUUCUGAGAGGUUGAACGGCCACAUUGGGACUGAGAUACGGCCCAGACUCC
rnacentral:rRNA from 1 species